UACGAGGGGGGCGAGCGUUGUUCGGAAUUAUUGGGCGUAAAGGGUGCGUAGGCGGUUUGGUAAGUCUGAUGUGAAAUCUAUGGGCUCAACUCAUAGUCUGCAUCGGAAACUGCCGGGCUUGAGUAUGGGAGAGGUGAGUGGAAUUCCUGGUGUAGCGGUGAAAUGCGUAGAUAUCAGGAGGAACACCUGUGGCGAAAGCGGCUCACUGGACCAUAACUGACGCCGAUGCACGAAAGCUAGGGGAGCAAACAGG
rnacentral:rRNA from 1 species